AUUAAAUAUAAUGAAGCAAAUCAGAACCAAAUACAGGCUCUCCCAUCCAACUCCUAUUCCGACACGUCCUCGUCGUGCAGAGUGGUAACAUGUGCCUCCACAUAUCCAAGCUUGGGUACACGGGCUUGACCCAACCCCUCGGGCGGAUGGUGGCACAUGGCGAACCAGGAGGGG
rnacentral:ribozyme from 1 species